GCUACAAAGAGCAGCUCGGGGAGAAGUUGAGGAGAGACACUUCAACAUGGACUCUGAGAGGAAACUGUCAGCUGGCCAGCGGAGAGGAACAACAGACCUGGACAAUCCUCAUGCUUCUUUUGAACUACCAGUGUGACGGCAUUUUACCUUCUCCUAUGUCCAGAAAGUGAUUGUUGGUGAAGAACAUCAGCAGGAGUGGAGCUCCAGUCUGGACCAGGAGGACACAAAGCCCCCACACAUUAAAG